GACGAACGCUGGCGGCGUGCUUAACACAUGCAAGUCGAACGGAAAGGCCUGCUUUCCCUUGUGGAUUGCGGGUACUCGAGUGGCGAACGGGUGAGUAACACGUGAGUGAUCUGCCCCCAACUUGGGUAUAAGCCUGGGAAACUGGGUCUAAUUCCCGAUAGGACUGCAGGGUGGUGCCUGUGGUGGAAAACGAUUUUCUAGUGGUUGGGGAUGAGCUCGCGGCCUAUCAGCUUGUUGGUGGGGUAAUGGCCUACCAAGGCGGCGACGGGUAGCCGGCCUGAGAGGGUGGACGGCCACAUUGGGACUGAGAUACGGCCCAGACUCCGACGGGAGGCAGCAGUGGGGAAUAAUGCACAAUGGGCGGAAGCCUGAUGCAGCGACGCCGCGUGGGGGAUGACGGCCUUCGGGUUGUAAACUCCUUUCGACCGCGAGGAAGCCACCUGGUUGGAAGGGUGGUGACGGUAGUGGUAGAAGAAGCACCGGCUAACUACGUG
rnacentral:rRNA from 1 species